AUUGGCACUCCAUACAAAAUACUUUAGAAUCCCAUAAUCUACUAAGGUUUUAAUAUCGAUUGUUGGAAAUAUUUUGCUAAAAAAUUAAGAAAUUUUGAUUUGAAAAACACCAAGAUAAAAGUCAAUUUCAGUUUUUCAAUAAAAGAAAUUAGUAAUUUUCUUUCACAAGGACAUUUACGCAAACACAAUGGAUUUAUGAAAUUAAUUUUGAUCUUGUCAACAAAGGAAGUGGGAUUACCACGGAAUUUAUUUUUUGAAACAAAAUUUGACACACAAUCACUGACUUCUUACAAAAGCUCUCAUACGCACAACUCUUAGAGAACAACUGACUAACAGUCCAGGGCCUGGACUCUGGACUCCAGGCUAAGCCAGAUCGUGAAUAGAGUAACCCCCUUCCUCACUACCACGUGGCUGCAGUGCCUUCGUUUUGGCGGAAACUGAAGAAAAAUUUCUCAAAACGAUUGACAGCCAGCGCGCCAGAGUAAUUUAUUCAGAUAUAGAACAUUAGUCUUGAAAUAAAAAUCCAAUCUGGAUAGUCCACUUAGUAUCACAUAUUUGUUAAACACUCUUGAUUGUAAUUUGCAAAUAAAAAUA